rnacentral:lncRNA from 1 species
GGGAUGCGCCCCAGCCAUCCCCAACAGCGCCAAAGAUCUUUCAGCAAUCGCUGUAAAAGCAAAAUAUUGAGGGAGCUGCGAAGCGCAGAGGAUUUCCGCAAGUGUGGUUUUUGAACGAAUGAACAAAUGAAUGCAUUUACUUGGAAUAUAUUCUCCCUCUUGCUGGAGAGACUUUGCUGGGCAGGUGAAUGUAAUGGAAGCUGGGAGCCCGUCACCCAUUGUAAUGUACUUGGUGACCUUGUCUUUCUUUCUGUGCCCACCUCCACCCAGAUCAAUUCAUGUCGCCAAUAAUACGGAGUCGAGGGGAAGCAGCACCUUUUCUAACUUGCACUAGGCACCCCGGUGUUCCUGUUUCGCUGGCCAUGCCUCUGCCUGCAACGCCCUUUGCCCAGGUUGGUUUUGUUGGACAGAAAAGAAUCUUCCAAUCUUGGGCCUAGAGGGACAUGGUCCGGCUGCUGGCAUGCUUGGAGCCAAGUCACGACAUCACUCUGUGUUUGGGCGCAGAAGGCUCUGAACUAGUUACUGGGCUCUCGCUGUGAACAAGGCAGACACUGUCCCUGCCUUCUCUUGAAACUAUGUUCUGGCAGAAGGGACAAGCAUGAAACAGAAAAAUAAUGCAGUAUCAAUCAUUCCAUAAAAAGUAACAGCUUCAUUGGCAAGUUCUAAGUGUUUUUGUUAAUGAAUCACUCUGAAAGGGAGAGGAGAAGAUUUAAUUUGCUUAGGAAUGAGGAUCAACUGUGUGACAUUUGUUUCCUGGUUUCUGUCUUCAUAUUUUUAAGAUCAGACCUUCAACAAUAAAGGUAAGUCACUUGUCUUAGAUGGUUUGUUACCGUCCUCUCCACACCAUCUGUUAGAUACAACCUCUCUCUGCUGACGUUUUUAACACAGACAGGCAAAUUUGAUCCAGGAACUUUGUUAUGGUAUGUACAAAUCUAAGUUUGCAGGCUCCAUGGACGUCAUUAACCCAAAAUAUCCCUAUUGGACCACACGAGACUGAGACCCAUCCUCUAGUCAUAGAUAGCCACAAGGAACAAAAAGGAAGCUCAGAUUUGUUUGGAAAGAUAGGCCAAUACUGGAGGUCCAUCCAAUACCUGAUGGAUUUGCUAUUACACAGCUGUUUUUUUUGUUUUGUUUGUUUGUUUUAGGGCUGCACCUUUGGCAUAUGGAAGUUCCCAGGCUAGGGGUCAAAUCAGAGCUACCGCUGCCGGCCUAUGAUACAGCCACAGCCACGUGGGAUCCAAGUUGCAACUGUGGUCUACACCACAGCUCAUGGCAAUGCCGGAUCCUUAACCCACUGAGCAAGGCCAGGGAUCGAACCUGCAUGCUCGUGGAUCCUAGUCAGGUUCAUUAACCCCUGAACCAUGACGGGAACUCCCUACACAGCUGUUCUUGCCUGGGAAGAGGAGCAGGGCACACUUGGACUGCUUUCCAAGAUUCUGUGACUCAGUGAUGAACUUCCAAGAACAACAGCACACCACUGGCUAAAACCAUCUGGGUAAGUUUACAAGAACUCAAAGCAGACUGGAUCAGAAAGGCAGCAAGAUUUUUGUUGUUUCCCAGUUGGAACCAGAGGCUGAUUCAAGGUUAAGAUUCAGCGAAAGCUGGCAGAUGUGCUACUUUUAUGGCCAUCAUCUGUCACUCAAGCAUUUUUGAGUUGUUUUCUCACUAGAGAUGAUCUCAUCCUUCUUUGCUCUGGGCUCCUUGCUACCAAAUUACAGCUUUUGAAAUGAAUACCCAGGUAGGGGUGCCAACUUUGGCGUUUCAACACCACUCUUGCUGCUCAUGUUCAGAGAGUUCAAGUGGCUUAAAAUUAAUGGAGGUCAUAAAACCAGUUAGUAUUGGAACACAGGUUGAACUCGGAUCUCUUAUCUUCUCUCUUUACCAUGCUGAAUUACAUAAAUCAUCCCAGUGUUUAAGAUAGAUUGCUUUUCCUCCCUGUGAUAAGUGGAACAAUGACACCCUCCCCGCCCCCCCACCCCCCGCCACACCCCUCCAUGUCUACACCCUAAACUGUGGAACCUAUGAAUAUGUUUUGUCCACAUGGCAAAGAGAAUUGGGGUUGCAGAUGGAAUUAAGAUUGCUAAUUAACUGAGUUUAUAACGGGGAGAUUAUCCUGGAUUAUCAGGACGAGUCCAAUGUAAUCACAGAGGUCUUGAAACGUGGAAGGAGGUAUAAGAGCCAGUGUUGGAGCGGAGGUGGCAUCAUGCAGCAGUGGAAACAAAUCUGACUAGGAACCAUGAGGUUUUCGGGUUCCAUCCCUGGCCUCGUGCAGUGGGUUAAGGAUCUGGCAUUGCCAUGAGCUGUGGUGUAGGUCGCAGAUGAAGCUCGGAUCUGGCAUUGCUGUGGCUGUGGCAUAGGACUGCAGCUGUAGCUCUGAUUCAAGCCCUAGUGUGGGAACGUCCACAUGCUGUGAGUGUGGCCCUAUAAAAAAGCAAAAAGCAAAAAAAAAAAAAAAAAAAAAAAAAAA